AGAUAGCUUGUUGGCUGCAAGAUUUGGUAC
rnacentral:piRNA from 1 species